CGAAUAUGCUUUCCUCUGCCAGGCAAAUAUACCUUGAAAUUUUGAAUGGGCCUGGUUUAUUAUUAAACAAUACGUAAUUAAGAGAUGGUAUCCUACUGAAAGUAAACCAGUUUCAGAGUCGUAGUCAUCAACAAAGAUUAAUCUUCAACAGUAAUUGGUUACUCUGUAUCAUAUAAUGCGCGGAGUGUAUAGAUUUUAUGGGUCCGAUGUUUGUGCCGAUAAAGAAAAUCCAGUGUACAUCAUUUGUUAAUUUAUUGUGCGCCCAUAAAUUUCUUUGCUUCUUUGCGUAAUCUUUUGUCGCUGUAUUUAUCUUCUUAUCAUCUGCACCACCGUGAAGCAACCCAGAGCUGUUGACUACUGUGAGCCCGGGUGGUAUAGUUUAGGAAUCAAGAGAAUGAUAGAGUUUUUGCAGGGAUACGUCGAGACAGCCUUGUGGGCUCUCGUGUUUUCUUGCAUCAUUGUGAAGCUGGUUUCGAGCGCCGUGGAUAGUGAUGGAAACGGGAGCGCAGAGAGAAGAGUUGUGGCGGUGGGAGAUGGUGAUCAGGUUGGAACUAAAGGUGUUCGAGAGAUUGACGCUGAGAGUUUUGAUAUUGUGAAGGUGGUUGAUGAAGAUGAAGGAGAAGUGAUUGUUGAAAAGGUUCAAAUGGUUGAACAAUGCGGUGAUGCGAGAGAUGGCAGUUGGACAGGAGGAGAGUCCAGGAAUCUUGGAUUGUCGGAGGUUGGAGCCUCAAAGAUUGAUGCUUUGUGUGGUGGUGUUGAGGUUGCUGGGGAGGAACUGUUGGGAGCCUCAAAGAUUGAUGCUUUGUGUGGUGUUGAGGGAAAAGAUGUUUUUGGGGAUGUUAAGGUUGUGGGAGAGGAAUUCAAGAGUGAAGAGGUUAGGAAAAAGAAUGUUGUGGGAACAAAUUUGCCCACUGCAAGUGGUCAUAUUGAAGGAGGAUUUAGACAAGAGGAUGAGGGUCUUAGUGAUGAUGAUUGGGAAGGAAUUGAGAGGAGUGACUUGGAGAUUCUAUUUGCCAAGGCUAUCAACUUCGUCCAGUGUGGGAACAAUGAUGCAUUGUCCAAUCUGGGAAGCGAGUUGAAGAUGCAGUUGUAUGCUCUUCAGAAAACGGCAAUGGAAGGGCCUUGUUAUGAGCCUCAGCCAAUGGCAUUCAAGGUCUCUGCCCGUGCCAAAUGGAAUGCUUGGCGAAGAACGGGAAGCAUGAGUUCGGAGGCGGCUAUGGAGCAGUACGUUAAACUUCUAUCGGAUACUGUUCCCGCCUGGAUUAGAUGCUCUUCCACUGUAAGUGUCACUGUUCUUCUUCAGUUAUUUUCCAGGAAAGUUGUGUAGAUAGUUCUUCAGCAAUUGGAAAGACGAAGCUCUCCCGACAUUCAAUCUGAUUGUACCAAUGAAAAGUUGAAAUCUGAUAGGAAUUGAUGAUGAACUGCUUGUUUGUCCAACAACUUGGCCAUUUCCCAUCAUCCAAUCUGAAGUCUGAAGAUGUGCUUCAAGAAUUUCAGGGGUUUAAUAAUUAGUAAUAUUAUUCGAGCUAUUAGUUUUUCCUUUUUUUUUUUUUUUAAUAAUUUAUUUCUGAACUAUUGUUAUGCAAUACCCUGCACAUGUAAUUAAUUAUUUGCAUCAUAUUGGGGCUGAACCUGUGCAUAGAUAACAGCUAAGUGCUCUAAUAGAAUGGUUAUACACUUAAAAAAAUUGAUAUAUUGUCAAGCAA